UCCUCUGUAGUUCAGUCGGUAGAACGGCGGACUGUUAAUCCGUAUGUCACUGGUUCGAGUCCAGUCAAAUCAGAGGAGCCA
rnacentral:tRNA from 1 species